GCCGCGUGAGUGAUGAAGUUUUCGGAUCGUAAAAACUCUGUUAUUAGGGAAGAACAAAACGUGUAAGUAACUGUGCACGUCUUGACGGUACCUAAUCAGAAAGCCACGGCUAACUACGUGCCAGCAGCCGCGGU
rnacentral:rRNA from 1 species